rnacentral:rRNA from 1 species
GGGGGGACCAUCCUCCAAGGCUAAAUACUCCUGACUGACCGAUAGUGAACCAGUACCGUGAGGGAAAGGCGAAAAGAACCCCGGCGAGGGGAGUGAAAAAGAACCUGAAACCGUGUACGUACAAGCAGUGGGAGCACGCUUAGGCGUGUGACUGCGUACCUUUUGUAUAAUGGGUCAGCGACUUAUAUUCUGUAGCAAGGUUAACCGAAUAGGGGAGCCGAAGGGAAACCGAGUCUUAACUGGGCGUUAAGUUGCAGGGUAUAGACCCGAAACCCGGUGAUCUAGCCAUGGGCAGGUUGAAGGUUGGGUAACACUAACUGGAGGACCGAACCGACUAAUGUUGAAAAAUUAGCGGAUGACUUGUGGCUGGGGGUGAAAGGCCAAUCAAACCGGGAGAUAGCUGGUUCUCCCCGAAAGCUAUUUAGGUAGCGCCUCGUGAAUUCAUCUCCGGGGGUAGAGCACUGUUUCGGCAAGGGGGUCAUCCCGACUUACCAACCCGAUGCAAACUGCGAAUACCGGAGAAUGUUAUCACGGGAGACACACGGCGGGUGCUAACGUCCGUCGUGAAGAGGGAAACAACCCAGACCGCCAGCUAAGGUCCCAAAGUCAUGGUUAAGUGGGAAACGAUGUGGGAAGGCCCAGACAGCCAGGAUGUUGGCUUAGAAGCAGCCAUCAUUUAAAGAAAGCGUAAUAGCUCACUGGUCGAGUCGGCCUGCGCGGAAGAUGUAACGGGGCUAAACCAUGCACCGAAGCUGCGGCAGCGACACUAUGUGUUGUUGGGUAGGGGAGCGUUCUGUAAGCCUGUGAAGGUGUACUGUGAGGUAUGCUGGAGGUAUCAGAAGUGCGAAUGCUGACAUAAGUAACGAUAAAGCGGGUGAAAAGCCCGCUCGCCGGAAGACCAAGGGUUCCUGUCCAACGUUAAUCGGGGCAGGGUGAGUCGACCCCUAAGGCGAGGCCGAAAGGCGUAGUCGAUGGGAAACAGGUUAAUAUUCCUGUACUUGGUGUUACUGCGAAGGGGGGACGGAGAAGGCUAUGUUGGCCGGGCGACGGUUGUCCCGGUUUAAGCGUGUAGGCUGGUUUUCCAGGCAAAUCCGGAAAACUAAGGCUGAGGCGUGAUGACGAGGCACUACGGUGCUGAAGCAACAAAUGCCCUGCUUCCAGGAAAAGCCUCUAAGCAUCAGGUAACAUCAAAUCGUACCCCAAACCGACACAGGUGGUCAGGUAGAGAAUACCAAGGCGCUUGAGAGAACUCGGGUGAAGGAACUAGGCAAAAUGGUGCCGUAACUUCGGGAGAAGGCACGCUGAUAUGUAGGUGAAGUCCCUCGCGGAUGGAGCUGAAAUCAGUCGAAGAUACCAGCUGGCUGCAACUGUUUAUUAAAAACACAGCACUGUGCAAACACGAAAGUGGACGUAUACGGUGUGACGCCUGCCCGGUGCCGGAAGGUUAAUUGAUGGGGUCAGCGCAAGCGAAGCUCUUGAUCGAAGCCCCGGUAAACGGCGGCCGUAACUAUAACGGUCCUAAGGUAGCGAAAUUCCUUGUCGGGUAAGUUCCGACCUGCACGAAUGGCGUAAUGAUGGCCAGGCUGUCUCCACCCGAGACUCAGUGAAAUUGAACUCGCUGUGAAGAUGCAGUGUACCCGCGGCAAGACGGAAAGACCCCGUGAACCUUUACUAUAGCUUGACACUGAACAUUGAGCCUUGAUGUGUAGGAUAGGUGGGAGGCUUUGAAGUGUGGACGCCAGUCUGCAUGGAGCCGACCUUGAAAUACCACCCUUUAAUGUUUGAUGUUCUAACGUUGACCCGUAAUCCGGGUUGCGGACAGUGUCUGGUGGGUAGUUUGACUGGGGCGGUCUCCUCCUAAAGAGUAACGGAGGAGCA